UACGUAGGUGGCAAGCGUUGUCCGGAAUCACUGGGCGUAAAGCGCGCGCAGGCGGCGAUCUACGUCUGGGGUGAAAGCCCGGAGCUCAACUCCGGGACUGCCUUGGAUACGGGAUCGCUUGAGGAUUGGAGAGGCAAGGGGAAUUCCACGUGUAGCAGUGAAAUGCGUAGAUAUGUGGAGGAACACCUGUGGCGAAGGCGCCUUGCUGGCCAAUUUCUGACGCUGAGGCGCGAAAGCGUGGGGAGCAAACAGG
rnacentral:rRNA from 1 species